GGAGGAGUGCCCGAGUGGACGAAGGGGGCCGACUCGAAAUCGGCUGAAGGGGUAUUAAACCUCUUCCGGGGGUUCGAAUCCCUCCUCCUCCG
rfam:Thermodesulfobacterium commune DSM 2178, complete genome.